CCUACGGGAGGCAGCAGUGAGGAAUAUUGGUCAAUGGACGAGAGUCUGAACCAGCCAAGUAGCGUGAAGGCUGACUGCCCUAUGGGUUGUAAACUUCUUUUAUAAAGGAAUAAAACGAGGCACGUGUGGCUUUUUGCAUGUACUUUAUGAAUAAGGAUCGGCUAACUCCGUGCCAGCAGCCGCGGUAAUACGGAGGAUCCGCGCGUUAUCCGGAUUUAUUGGGGUUAAAGGGAGCGUAGAUGGGUUGUUAAGUCAGUUGUGAAAGUUUGCGGCUCAACCGUAAAAGUGCAAUUGAGACUGGCAGUCUUGAGUACAGUAGAGGUAGGCGGAAUGCGUGGUGUAGCGGUGAAAUGCAUAGAUAUCACGAAGAACCCCGAUUGCGAAGGCAGCUUACUAAACUGCGACUGACACUGAUGCUCGAAAGUGUGGGUAUCAAACAGGAUUAGAUACCCUGGUAGUC
rnacentral:rRNA from 1 species